UGGGGAAUAUUGCACAAUGGGGGAAACCCUGAUGCAGCAACGCCGCGUGAAGGAUGAAGGUUUUCGGAUUGUAAACUUCUUUAGUCAGGGACGAAUAAAUGACGGUACCUGAAGAAUAAGCCACGGCUAACUACGUGCCAGCAGCCGCGGUAAUACGUAGGUGGCGAGCGUUGUCCGGAAUUACUGGGUGUAAAGGGCGUGUAGGCGGGAAUGUAAGUCAGAUGUGAAAUCCCAGGGCUCAACCCUGGAGCUGCAUCUGAAACUAUGUUUCUUGAGUGUCGGAGAGGAAAGCGGAAUUCCUAGUGUAGCGGUGAAAUGCGUAGAUAUUAGGAGGAACACCAGUGGCGAAGGCGGCUUUCUGGACGAUAACUGACGCUGAGGCGCGAAAGCGUGGGGAGCAAACAGG
rnacentral:rRNA from 1 species